AAGGCGUCCCAAUCGGAAGCCUGAUGGCGGGAGUACUAACUGAAAUAUUACUAAGGCAAGUUGAAAAAAGCAUCCUUGAAAGGUUUAGAAGAACCAUGAGCCUUUAUAUCAGGUAUGUCGACAAUAUCCUGGUGAUAUGGGAAGAAGAAGGAAGAACAAAAGAACUAGAAGCCCUAACGAUACCAGCAUAUAGAUUAACACUAACUACAAUGCAUCUCAGAAAUCCAAAAUAGGAUAUCUAGACAUCGAAAUAACCAUCAACAUCAUCAUCUUAACAACAGCGGUCCACAGAAAACCACU
rnacentral:lncRNA from 1 species